GUGCUUCUAGCACUGACGGUUGAUAAAAUCCUACAAUUGGUGACAUUCUGGAAGUGCAGGUGGGUUUCCCUCUGUAUGAGUGGAGUUUGUGCAACCGAACAAAAGGGUUGCAUCUUAGGAACAUGGUUACGUGGAAGACAAGGUUUCAGAUUUCAGUCUUGGCUCUGGGAUCUGGCCAUGGAUUGGGUGAGUAUGGUAGCAGAAUUGUACUGUGCUGACACUUGGAAUGGUCUUUUGUCCCUUCUUGCUCUCUUUCUACUGACUCUCUUUUCUAUAUGAAGCAAAUGGUGUAAACAAAGAGGCUCAGACAACUCCUUUUUGACGUCGUGCUUGGUAUUGGUGGUAGCAGUCCAUCAUGGUCACCUUUCUGGUUCAUAGGUGUUGGUACCAACAGGGCCGACUUUGUUUGUCAUGUGCUGGGGUUGUGGACUUAUUCUCAAGACAUCUCACCAUUCUGAUCCUGGAUGGACCAAUACAUACCGUGAAUUGAAUCCUUGAUUGAAGCCUAUGUACUUAACCUAUAUAUCAUGCAUUGUUCUGUUAAGAUACGUCAGUUAUGUACAACUAGUCUUAAUAUCGGCG
rnacentral:lncRNA from 1 species